UUUUUCAGGUUUAAAACGACAGGAAGACAGUGUUCUACAUCGUUGAAAGAAAAAGAAUCGAUUCCAGAUCGUGCCGUCCUGUGUUUGUUGUUUUCGACAGUUGAAGGGAGAGUCCGGUGUAUGCCAGAUACUAUCUAUUGAUUUCAGACACUCUAGUGAGAAAUAUAUGCAGAAGAAAGAACCAAGUAUGAUAAAUCCACGACAGACCUGGCACAAGCAUAAAGCAUGACGCCACAACAGCCUCCACGACAAAAGCAUAGUUAAACAAAUUAGACAUAAGCUAACUUGUAUAUAAUUAUACCCCAACGUACAAAGUAUAUUGGGCUAUGUUGGAGUCACGCAUGUCCAGUCCAUCCGUCCGUCCGUUCGUUUGUCCACUAUGGCCGCUGGUAUGAUUUUCAUACUACUGACAUAAAUUAUAAACCACAUCAGGACGAUGUACAGAGCGCUCAACCUAGGUCACAAGGCCCAAGGUCAAGGUUACUCGUGGAGGUCAAAGGUCAAAUACCUUAGCUUUAUGUCCGCUCUAAUUGUCUAAACGGCUUUAAAACAUUUAGCUUGACUGUUAGAAGAUUAAGGAGGAUUACUGUACCUGCCCUGACGUCUGUGUCACUGUCACCGUUGCAUUGAAAGUUAAAAUUUUAGGACAAGCUUCUUAGCGUCACUGUAUAUCUUCUUACUACUGCCCUUAUUUAAAAUAAUUUAACAUGAGACUUCACAUAAGUGUUGGUCUUGGUAAGAGAAAGACAUCUACAUGUAUUAGUUUAGGAACAAGUAUCAUAAAUGUCAAAGUCACUGUCUUAAAUAUUGUGAUAGUGCUGGUUAAAGUUUCAUGAUGAGCUUCUCAAUUUCACAAUAAACCUCACAUAAGGAUUGAUCUUAGAACUUGGCAGAAAUCUUUUUGUUUAGGGUCGGGUUGCUCAAAGGUCAAGGUUACUGGGGUCAGAUUUUGUAACAGUGUUGGUUAAAGUCUUGUGGCACAUUUCUCAAUUUGACUUAUAUCUCAUAACGUUUCCUAGAACUGGUAUCCCUCAUGUCCUAUCCUUUUUAGCUAUACCCAUACUUCAUCUACGUUCCUCCCGACAUCAAGCCAAAAAUGCAUUCCAUACAAAAACUUAUAUUUCAUGUUUCCAUCAACUCCUCUACUCCGCUGUCUUCACCUACCACCUCCACCCCAUUUUACCUAACCUUUACCCUCGCCCCUUACCCCGCCCCCUCCAUAAAAAGGAUAAAAAACUCCUUUUCGAUCUCACACAGUUACUUGUAAUGAUAACAAAAUCUUGUUAAACAUUUUCCUUAUAGUCGAGCAGACACAAUUAACUCAGAUCGCUAGGUCCAAGGUCAAGGUCACACCUAAAAAUCAAAAGUUAUGAUGACAAAAAUUUACUUUCCCUUUAUCAAAGUGAGGUCUGAGGUAUUAAUCGACGUCAGUGAUGACCUUAGUUGAUCAGGUGUUAGUGGCAUAAAUGUGUAACAUUUGCUUUAUUGGGGGUAGUGGGGUGGGUGUGGGGGAUAAAGGAAUGGUCUCUGUCCAUUCGUCUGCUCGUCCGUCUGCCCUUCCGUAACACUUUUAUGUCCUAAGCCACUUGAAGGAUUUUCAUGAAACUAGGGUCAAAUGAUCACAUCAAGACGAUGCUCAGAACUUAUGAGUUUGCCAUGUCGGCUCAAGGUCAAGGUCACAACUCAAGGUCAAAGGUUUUAGCCUUCCAUUUCGUGUCCGUUCUGUAUCUCUUAAACCUCUUGAAGGAAUUUUAUAAAACUCGGGUCAAAUGAUCACCUCGGCAAGAGGAUGUGCGGAACUUAUGAGUCAGCCAUGCCGGCUCAAGAACAAGGUCACAACUUAGGGUUAAAGGUUUGAACCUUCCAUUUUGUGUCCGCUUUGUAUCUCCUAAACCCCUUAAAAGAUUUUCCUGAAACUUGGGUCAAAUUAUCACUUCAUCAAGACACUGUGUAGAACUCAUGAGUCAGCCAUGUUGGCUCAAGGUCAAGGCCACAACUUGGGAUCAAAGGUUUGAGCCUUCCAUUUUGUGUCCACUCUGUAUCUCCUAAACCCCUUGAAGGAUUUUCAUUUAACCUUGUCAAAUGAUCACCUCAUCAAGAUGAUGUGCAGAAUCUGUGAGUUAGCCAUGCCGACUCAAGAUCAAGUUCAUAAAGGUAUGAGUCUUCCAUUUUGUGUACACUAUAUCUCCUAUACCCCUUGAAGGAUUUUCAUUAAACUUGGACCAAAUGAUUACCAUAUCAAGAACUCAUGAUUCGGCUAUGUCAACUCAAGGUCAAAGUCACAACUCAAGGUCAAAAGUUUGAGCUCUGUAUAUUCUAAACCCCUUUUUCAGAAAACUUUGAUCAAAUGAUCAACUCCUCAAGAAUUCAUAAGUCAGUCAUGGCAGUUCAAGGUUAAGGUCACAGCUCAAGGUAAAACGUUCAAGUUACCCUUUUACUAUCCAUAUCAGUGGCGGGGGUUUUAGCUGUCUUUCAGACUGCCAUGUAAUCAUUGAUUUUAGGGCGGGAGAUAUUUGUUUGUUUCAGUGUAAGAUCGAUCAAAUCAUUCUAAAUACAGCUUAUUACAAUGUAAACUCUGGUGUUCAAGCGUGAAAAAUAAUCGAUUUUACUAUAAAUCAAAGAAAUUUUAUAUUAUGCAAUUAAAUAUAUGUAUACUAUAAAUCAAAGAAGUUUUAUAUUAUGUAAUUAAAUAUAGAUCUACGUGUACUAAAUUGUACACAUUUUACAAGUAUAACAUCUCACCCAGCGCGUAACGUUAUAAUUCAUAUUCUUUCGUGUUAAAUUGAUGUUGCGUGCAAGUGAAAACUGUAUUUGGAUUUCUUACUUCUGAAACAGUGGGUUUAUCAGGGUAUAACCUAUCGUUAUAUUUCAAUAAUAGCUGAAAACAUGGCAAGAAAUUCAAUAAAACUAUAAAAUGUAGCGAUAAAAUCAUAGCUCUUUUAUUUAUUCAAACACACUUUCUACUGCACUUUGUCUGGUUGGUAUUAAGUAAUUUUAGCCUCAUUUCUUGUUCACUGAAUUUUACACUGUUUGGUAUAACACAUAAUCGACACCUUACUUUAUGCACUAGCAUUAACUCGUGAGGCUAAAAUGACUUUUGAAGCAACUCUGUCCAUUGUCAGUAGAUCUAACAAUGUGUUAAUCUGGUAAAUCUUUAAGAACGAUGGGUCGAAAGUUUAGCUGAUCAAAUAUUUAGUAGAAUUGCUGGCAAAUUUUUAGGUUUUAGACCUCGCUUUAAAUGAUUACUGGAAUAUAACGUUAAAUUAUAACAUGAUAAACUCAUUGUUUCAAACGGAGAGAAACUAAAAUAGAAUCUAUGAUUUUUCACUAGUACGGAACAACACUUGAACGCAAAAGGAUAUUAAUUGUAUGUAAGAACUGGAAAUUUGCUUCAAAUAGAAAAAAGUCUCUAUUAUACUUCUUACAAAAACACUAAAAUAAUACACGCCAAACUAUUAAAACCUAAAAGAAAUAUGUAUAUCGCGUAGACAUAUUUAACUUUAUUCCAACAGCAUUGUGACGUCAUGAAAUAUAGCAUGACGUUACACAUGGCGCAGGUCUCAGCGCAGUUAAUUAAACAAGAUAACAUGAGAUAAAUUUAUUUUAACUCUGCAAGAUAAUAAAGCGGUACAAAAAGAAGCGAUGAGUUUUUCAAUUAGUAAUAAAUUAAGAAUUAAAAUGAACGUGCAAUACAUGUAUACAUAUAUAAAUCUGGUAUAAUAAUAAUAAUGAUGAUGAUGAUGAUGAAGAUAGAUAAGUUUUUAAAUUAAUUAAACAUUAAGAAUAAAGAUGAAGGCGCAAUACAUAUAUACAUAUAUAAAUCUGAUAUAAUAAUAAUAAAAAUAAUAAUAAUGAUGAAUCAACUUUCUCGUAAUGCCGAAAAUUAACUUUCACUCGGGAACACCAGUUUUCACUUUAUUCGGUGAAAGAAAUUUCGAUCUUAUACGGAAACCAACACAUGUCCCAUUUCUAUAUAUUUUUACAGCAGUAGUAGGUAACAAACAUCCAUAGUUUGAGGAUAUAUGGCUUAAAAGUAAGUUUUCACAACCUAGGACUGAAAUCAUUUUAACUGCUGUUAGAUAUUUUUUGUUUUAUGUUCCCAAGAUAUUCCCGUGAAGAAAUUUCACUUCACAUUAUUAUUCCUCAAGACCAGAUGACAAUGUCAUGUUGAAGACAUCUAUGCCUGAUGGCCAAAGCCAAAGGUCACAUUUCAAGGUCAAAGGUCAGAUAUUUAGUUUUUGAUCCAUAAGUUCUGUGCCUAGGAGGGUUUUAUUACUUAAUGGAUUUGAUUCAAACUAAAAAUAUUGUUCAACAUCUUCACCCAUAUCAUAUGACACAAGGUUCAUAACUCUUACACCAAUAUUUCAUAACUUAUGCCGCCCCCUCUCCCAUUUUUACUUAGAAUUUAAGGUUAAAGUUUUUAUACGAUUUCACACUCAGUUAUUACUAAAUGGAUUUGAUUCAGACUUACAAUAGAUGUUCCAUCUUAUUAACCACAUCAUGUGACACAAGAUGCUUAACUCUGACACCAAUUUUUCAUGAAUUAUGUCCCCUUUUACUUAGAAUUUAAGGUUUUGAUGCAUUUCCACUAUAUUUUAGUUAUUACUAAAUGGAUUCAAACAAAAAAGAUGUUCCUCCUUUUCAACCACAUCAUGUGACACAAGGCGCAUAGUUCUGACACAAUUUUUUCAUGAAUUUUGUCCCCUUUUACUUUGUAUUUAAGGUUAAUUUUGAUGCAUUUUCAGUAUAUCUUAUAUAUACAACUUUUGUGCCUGGAAGGGGUUUAUUACUUAAUGGCUUUGAUUCAAACUUAAAAUAGUCGUUCCACAUCAUCACCCACAUUAUAUGGCACAAGGUGCAUAACUCAUGCACCAAUAUUUCCUGAAUAAUGCCCCCUUUUUGGUAAAAAAAUUACUUGUUUCAUGUUUUGAAAUUGUUACACUUUAUCUGCACCUCUCUCAUAAUUUGAAAUAUUAACACAGACUCAAGCUGUUGUGAAACAAUUAUCCACCAUUGUAGUCAUUAAACACUAUAGUGACAGUUCUUGACAGAUUUAAAUUUUUUGCCACACAGGUGUAACAUCAUAAAAUACAAUUUUGAUGCAUUUUCACUAUGUCUCAGUUAUUACGAUAUGCAAAUGAUUCAAACUUGAAGUAGAUGUUCCACAUCAUCACCCACAUCAUAUGGCACAAGUUGUAUAACUCUUGCACCAAUAUUUUCUGAAUUAUGUCCCCUUUUCGGUUGGAAUUGUACUAAUAUAGUGUUUUCAUACACUUUAUUUGUACCUCUCUUAUAACUUGAUAUUUUUAACACAGACCAGGCUAUUGUGCAAUUUUCAUCCACCAUUGGAGUCAAAUCAAACACUUCAGUGACAAUUCUUGACAGAUAUAAAUGUUUUCGUACACAGGUCACCAACUGAACACACAUCAUAAAAUACAGGUCAAGUUCGAUUUAAAUUGCACUUUCUUUUGGACAUGACUUUCUUAUGAUUGCCAUUCUUCUGUGACAAGACGGUAUUGUGGGGGUAUUCGUCACUCCAGUGACAGUUCUAGUUCUGCUUGCUGGUUGUUUCUUAAUGACAGUCAAAACUUUAUAUAUAUUCCUUCGAUAACAUUUUUUCUGGCGGUGUUUUACGUGUUUAGUGAAAGCAUAGUUCAAAGCAAUGAUUUUAUUGUACAUGUAUUCAAUUUUAAAAACAUUCUUCAGAUUGAAUAUUUUCAUUAUGGUUAUACUCUACAAUGUCAUUUGUGACUACGUAUGCUAUUUAUUGCAGCUUGAGAAAUGAAUAAAAUACCAUACAGU